UAGGAAAACCUCUCACUUAAUGGUUAAAUCAGAUGAGAGCUCGAUUGCAGCUUUGGGAGGGACUCGCAAUGUACUGAAAUGUUAUUUUCAAAGUCCUAUUGCCUCUCCAACAGUAGUGCACGUUGUAAGGCCCAAUGCUGUGGAAGAGCAAAGGAAGGAUCUUCCAAUAGUUAUGAUGGAACAGGAGAUAAUGGAAGCUAUAAAUGGGCAUUCCACUGUUAUUAUCUGUGGAGAAACAGGGUGUGGAAAAACUACUCAAGUUCCUCAGUUCCUUUAUGAAGCAGGCUUUGGUUCAAAACAGUCUGUUGCCCGAGGUGGUAUUAUUGGAGUUACUCAACCACGCCGUGUCGCUGUCCUUGCCACGGCUAGGCGUGUGGCAUAUGAACUUGGUCUUCAUCUUGGUAAGGAGGUUGGGUUUCAAGUAAGGCAUGACAAGAGAAUUGGAGACAGUUGUACAAUCAAAUUUAUGACUGAUGGAAUUUUACUACGAGAAGCUCAGGUUUGGCUGCCAUUGAAUAUUACAUUCUUGCAUGUGGUGUUAUAAAGUAUGACGCACCAAGAAUCCAUGUGAUAAAAUAUUCUUAGAUUUUCCUUAAUUUGCUAGAGAUUUUGUUAUAUUGAUAUUUUAUCAAAUCCUAUAGAGUUUUAUCCCUCCUCUUAGCAUUCUUAUCCCUUUUUUUUUCCCUAAAUUUUCCACCCAGGGGAUGGGAAGUGAUUGUGGUUUAAUUUAUGGCUCUUGAAAAUUCCUUGUGUCUAUCUAGCCGUGUUGCCUUUUUUUUUUUUAACAAAAAAGGACCCAGUUGUACUGAAUGAAAGAAGGUUAUUUGAGAUAUAAGAGAAAGUGUUCAGAAAAACUUUUUAGCUUAUUUUGUGAUAGCUAAUAGAGUAGUAAUAACUCUACAUUUGCUCCACAUAUCUUUUCUUUUUUAGCAGAAUUAUAUUGACUGGAAUUUGUCUUGAAAAUUUAAGAUUCCUUUUAUAUGCGCUUGCACACACACUAGUAUGAAUUAAAUUGAGGAUGCAAAAGCUUAUUUAUUUUGGUCUUCAGCAUAUUCACGGACUAUAUAUCGUCUGCUAAAGCCUUUUUGGUAUUGUUUGCAAAGUCAUCUAUUAGUGAGCUAGCAUUACUGAUGGGAUGUAUGUUAAAAAGUGACAAUUAUUCAGUAAAACUGGAUUUGUGUAUGUUAGCCAUUUCUUUUGUUUUGCAAUAAAAUCUUUUAUGGUGCAGAAUGAUUUUUUAUUGAAACGAUACUCUGUUAUAAUCCUGGAUGAGGCUCAUGAGAGAAGUGUGAACACUGACAUACUCAUUGGCAUGCUUUGCCGUGCCAUUCCACUCCGGCAGAAGAUAUAUGAGGACCAGCAACAAAUGUUGCUUUCUGGCCAAAGCAUUAACCCUGAAAAUAUGGUAUUUCCACUCAAACUUGUUCUGAUGAGUGCCACCUUGCGAGUGGAAGAUUUUGUUUCUGGAAGAAGGUUAUUUCAUAAUCCUCCUGUUAUUGAAGUUCCCACCAGACAAUUUCCAGUAACUGUGCAUUUCUCAAAGAGAACAGAAAUUGUGGACUAUAUUGGCCAGGCUUACAAAAAGGUCUUGUCAAUCCACAAGAGGCUGCCACAGGGAGGCAUACUUGUCUUUGUCACAGGGCAGAGAGAGGUGGAGUUCUUGUGCCAGAAAUUGCGUAAAGCUUCAAAGAAACUGAUUGCCAAUACUGCUGAAGGGAAUAUAAGGAAUGAGGCCUCUGCUACACCUGAAAUGAGUUCUAUUGAGGAAAUUAACAUGAAGGACAUCAAUGAGGCCUUUGAGAUUCAGGGUAACUCAACUAACGAGCAAACUGAUAGAUUUAGUUCCUAUGAGAAAGAGUUGCCAUAUCCUAAUGAGGAUGAAUCAGAUGUCUCUUAUAAUUCCGAAACAGAGAGCGAAAUAGAAAUUGUUGGUGAUGAUGGGGAUUCAGGGGACCAGAGCAUCUCAGAAAAUGAUGGUAACCUUUUAGGUGUUUUAGGCGAGGGGAGUCUUACAGCUCUGAGGGCUGCUUUUGAAGUGUUGGCCGGAAAGAAUGCAUCAGACCCUAAUUCUGAGGGAAAACAUAAUCCAUCUAUGCCGGAGGACCUCUUGGAGCAAUCCAACCACAUUGUAGCGAAGAAGAAUGGAGGAGAUAAAAGUGUCUCUGUUGGUGCUUUGUGUGUUCUGCCUCUUUAUGCCAUGCUUCCUGCAGCUGCACAGCUCCGGGUUUUUGAAGGAGUCAAGGAAGAGGAGCGACUUGUUGUUGUUGCCACUAAUGUUGCUGAAACCUCUUUAACUAUCCCA
rnacentral:misc_RNA from 1 species